GACGAACGCUGGUGGCGUGCCUAAUACAUGCAAGUCGAGCGAGACUCUUCGGAGUCUAGCGGCGGACGGGUGAGUAACACGUGGGCAACCUGCCUGUAAGACUGGGAUAACACCGGGAAACCGGUGCUAAUACCGGAUAAUCCUUUUCCUCUCAUGAGGAAAAGCUGAAAGUCGGUUUCGGCUGACACUUACAGAUGGGCCCGCGGCGCAUUAGCUAGUUGGUGAGGUAACGGCUCACCAAGGCGACGAUGCGUAGCCGACCUGAGAGGGUGGUCGGCCACACUGGGAAUGAGACACGGCCCAGACUCCUACGGGAGGCAGCAGUAGGGAAUCUUCCACAAUGGACGAAAGUCUGAUGGAGCAACGCCGCGUGAGCGAUGAAGGCCUUCGGGUCGUAAAGCUCUGUUGUUAGGGAAGAACAAGUACCGGAGUAACUGCCGGUACCUUGACGGUACCUAACCAGAAAGCCACGGCUAACUACGUGCCAGCAGGCGCCGUAAAAC
rnacentral:rRNA from 1 species